rnacentral:rRNA from 1 species
GAUGAACGCUGGCGGCGUGCCUAAUACAUGCAAGUCGAGCGAAUGGACGAGAAGCUUGCUUCUCUGAUGUUAGCGGCGGACGGGCGAGUAACACGUGGAUAACCUACCUAUAAGACUGGGAUAACUUCGGGAAACCGGAGCUAAUACCGGAUGAUAUUUUGAACCGCAUGGUUCAAAAGUGAAAGACGGUCUUGCUGUCACUUAUAGAUGGAUCCGCGCUGCAUUAGCUAGUUGGUAAGGUAACGGCUUACCAAGGCAACGAUGCAUAGCCGACCUGAGAGGGUGAUCGGCCACACUGGAACUGAGACACGGUCCAGACUCCUACGGGAGGCAGCAGUAGGGAAUCUUCCGCAAUGGGCGAAAGCCUGACGGAGCAACGCCGCGUGAGUGAUGAAGGUCUUCGGAUCGUAAAACUCUGUUAUUAGGGAAGAACAUAUGUGUAAGUAACUGUGCACAUCUUGACGGUACCUAAUCAGAAAGCCACGGCUAACUACGUG